rnacentral:rRNA from 1 species
UACGAAGGGGGCUAGCGUUGCUCGGAAUCACUGGGCGUAAAGCGCACGUAGGCGGAUUGCUAAGUCAGGGGUGAAAUCCUGGAGCUCAACUCCAGAACUGCCCUUGAUACUGGCGGUCUCGAGUCCGGGAGAGGUGAGUGGAACUGCGAGUGUAGAGGUGAAAUUCGUAGAUAUUCGCAGGAACACCAGUGGCGAAGGCGGCUCACUGGCCCGGUACUGACGCUGAGGUGCGAAAGCGUGGGGAGCAAACAGG